ACGCUGGCGGCAGGCCUAACACAUGCAAGUCGAGCGGUAGAGAGAAGCUUGCUUCUCUUGAGAGCGGCGGACGGGUGAGUAAUGCCUAGGAAUCUGCCUGGUAGUGGGGGAUAACGUCCGGAAACGGACGCUAAUACCGCAUACGUCCUACGGGAGAAAGCAGGGGACCUUCGGGCCUUGCGCUAUCAGAUGAGCCUAGGUCGGAUUAGCUAGUUGGUGGGGUAAUGGCUCACCAAGGCGACGAUCCGUAACUGGUCUGAGAGGAUGAUCAGUCACACUGGAACUGAGACACGGUCCAGACUCCUACGGGAGGCAGCAGUGGGGAAUAUUGGACAAUGGGCGAAAGCCUGAUCCAGCCAUGCCGCGUGUGUGAAGAAGGUCUUCGGAUUGUAAAGCACUUUAAGUUGGGAGGAAGGGCAGUAAAUUAAUACCUUGCUGUUUUGACGUUACCGACAGAAUAAGCACCGGCUAACUCUGUGCCAGCAGCCGCGGUAAUACAGAGGGUGCAAGCGUUAAUCGGAAUUACUGGGCGUAAAGCGCGCGUGGGUGGUUCGUUAAGUUGGAUGUGAAAUCCCCGGGCUCAACCUGGGAACUGCAUUCAAAACUGACGAGCUAGAGUAUGGUAGAGGGUGGUGGAAUUUCCUGUGUAGCGGUGAAAUGCGUAGAUAUAGGAAGGAACACCAGUGGCGAAGGCGACCACCUGGACUGAUACUGACACUGAGGUGCGAAAGCGUGGGGAGCAAAC
rnacentral:rRNA from 1 species